AUUAUUUCUUUGCUUUUUGGCUAAGAUCAAGUGUAGUAUCUGUUCCUAUCAGUUUAAAACAGUGAUAGUGAUGAAGUCUUUUUAAUACACUGGUGUCCAAACAUUU
rnacentral:snRNA from 1 species